ACAGACUGAAAAUUACUCAAGUUGUAUCCAUUGACUGGAGUAAGAUAUCUGUGCCGACAGAAGAAUGGUACAGUUUAAGCUUAUUGUCAGUCAGUGUGACUCGCAAUGAAACCCAUGUGCCAACACUU